rnacentral:rRNA from 1 species
CCUACGGGGGGCAGCAGUAGGGAAUAUUGCUCAAUGGGGGAAACCCUGAAGCAGCAACGCCGCGUGGAGGAUGAAGGUUUUCGGAUUGUAAACUCCUUUUGUUAGAGAAGAUAAUGACGGUAUCUCACGAAUAAGCACCGGCUAACUCCGUGCCAGCAGCCGCGGUAAUACGGAGGGUGCAAGCGUUACUCGGAAUCACUGGGCGUAAAGAGUGCGCAGGCGGGCUUGUAAGUCAGAUGUGAAAUCCUGUGGCUUAACCACAGAACUGCAUUUGAAACUGUGAGUCUAGAGUAUGGGAGAGGUAGGUGGAAUUCUUGGUGUAGGGGUAAAAUCCGUAGAUAUCAAGAGGAAUACUCAUUGCGAAGGCGACCUGCUGGAACAUAACUGACGCUGAUGCACGAAAGCGUGGGGAGCAAACAGGAUUAGAUACCCGAGUAGUC